rnacentral:rRNA from 1 species
GACGAACGCUGGCGGCGUGCCUAAUACAUGCAAGUAGAACGCUGAAGGAGGAGCUUGCUUCUCUGGAUGAGUUGCGAACGGGCGAGUAACGCGUAGGUAACCUGCCUGGUAGCGGGGGAUAACUAUUGGAAACGAUAGCUAAUACCGCAUAAGAGUAGAUGUCGCAUGACAUUUGCUUAAAAGGUGCAAUUGCAUCACUACUAGAUGGACCUGCGUUGUAUUAGCUAGUUGGUGAGGUAACGGCUCACCAAGGCAACGAUACAUAGCCGACCUGAGAGGGUGAACGGCCACACUGGGACUGGGACACGGCCCAGACUCCUACGGGAGGCAGCAGUAGGGAAUCUUCGGCAAUGGACGGAAGUCUGACCGAGCAACGCCGCGGGAGUGAAGAAGGUUAUCGGAUCGUAAAGCUCUGUUGUAAGGGAAGAACGAGUGUGAGAGUGGAAAGUUCACACUGUGACGGUAUCUGACCAGAAAGGGACGGCUAACUACGUG